GCCAUGCUAAUUAAAUAGUGUUUAUAGCCUCUUCAAGAAAAACAAUAUUUAUACUAAGUAUGAUGGGCACAAAUGAUCGAAAAGUCUUCGGAUCUCCUCCAUUUUAGUAGACACCCAAACCAAAGAAGUAUAGCAUAUUGCAUGCAUCGGUGGCACCUGGAGCUAUUUCCAAUGUAAAAUGGGGAAAAAGGGUAUCCCAUUAAGUUAUUCUCCAGUAUUAUGCAAAAAGAUCAAACUAUAUGGUUUUCCGUGCGUAACUUAUAUUUCCUUUAAUGUUGGACGCCACAAGAAAGAUGCAAACACAGUAAAAAUAUCAUGCACGAGGAUACGAGUUCCUUGGUUUAAAAUUGGAAAAUUUACAGAAUCCAAAACAUUGAUGAACAACCUGUGUUUAUAUACGAACAAUUCAUGAUUAGUGGAGAAGGUUUUAUCUUGAGAUCCAUCACUCUAUAGGUGUCUAAAAACUCGGAACAUGAAAACGUCUUCAAGAAAUGCAAAAUCACCAUACUACCAUAGUUUUAAUACCAAAUUUAGGACCAGCUACAUAAUCUUUUUCCGUCAUUUCGUUCAAAUCUAAGCUAAUUUCUUCCAAAUGGUCAACGAAACUCG
rnacentral:lncRNA from 1 species